rnacentral:rRNA from 1 species
AUCGUAACUCCUACGGGAGGCAGCAGUGGGGAAUUUUGGACAAUGGGCGAAAGCCUGAUCCAGCAAUGCCGCGUGAGUGAUGAAGGCCUUAGGGUUGUAAAGCUCUUUUACCCGGGAUGAUAAUGACAGUACCGGGAGAAUAAGCUCCGGCUAACUCCGUGCCAGCAGCCGCGGUAAUACGGAGGGAGCUAGCGUUGUUCGGAAUUACUGGGCGUAAAGCGCACGUAGGCGGCUUUGUAAGUCAGAGGUGAAAGCCUGGAGCUCAACUCCAGAACUGCCUUUGAGACUGCAUCGCUCGAAUCCGGGAGAGGUGAGUGGAAUUCCGAGUGUAGAGGUGGAAUUCGUAGAUAUUCGGAAGAACACCAGUGGCGAAGGCGGCUCACUGGACCGGCAUUGACGCUGAGGUGCGAAAGCGUGGGGAGCAAACAGGAUUAGAUACCCGGGUAGUCCUAGAGC